rnacentral:lncRNA from 1 species
AUGGGAAAGUGUCGGUUUAAUCCGCUGUGGCCAAGGAAUUCAAAUUACGUGUGGGUCAAGCCUGUGCCAGGAAAUGACUUCGAGGCAUAUUGCUCUUGGUGCCGGAAAUCUUUUAAACUAGCGACGAUGGGUGUUACGGCCCUGGAGUCCCAUAUGAAGGCUGCCAAACACAUUGCGUGUAGUACUGCUCGCCAGCGCCAACCACCAAUUGUGCAGUUCUGUGCACCACAGACCUCUUCGGUUAAUGAAACAGCUCUGGCUAUCAAUAAUGAAGACAUUUCAACAUCAAACGCAUUGCCGCCACAGCCAAAGAACAUCAUAUCUUACUGCGGCUCGACACCAACUCUACAGGCAGAGGUGAGAUGGGUCCUUAAAACAAUCUCUGAGCACCACUCUUACACAUCGAAUGAGAACAUUACAGAGAUUUUUAAAACCAUGUUUCCUGACUCCGAGAUCGCAACUACAUUCUCGUGUGGAAGCAACAAAACUUCAUAUAUUACUAAAUUCGGAUUGGCUCCCUUUAUAACUAAAGAACUGACUGACAAGGUCAAUAUAGCCAACGGGUUUGUGGUCAUGUUUGACGAGAGUCUCAAUAAGAUGACGAAAAGUAAGCAGUUGGACCUUCAUAUUCGCUACUGGGUGGAUAACCAUGUCCAGUCACGAUACUUCGGCUCGCAGUUUAUGGGCCAUGCAACGGCGGUGGACCUGCUCAAACAUUUCAAAGAGUGUGUAUGUGACCUUGACUUGAGGAAGAUGGUCUCAGUGUCUAUGGAUGGACCCAAUGUUAAUUGGCGUUUUUUUGAGAUGCUGCAGCAGGAGCAUGCAGAGCAUUUUGGGGGUGUUCAGCUGGCAGUGGUGGGGAGUUGUGGCCUGCAUACUCUCCAUAAUGCUGUCAAAUGUGGAUUCACCGAGUGGCAUAUGGAGAAGUUCCUAAGAGCUCUGCAUACAAUUUUCCACAAUGUGCCAGCAAGGAGAGAGGAUUUCUAUAAUCUCACAAAGUCCAAAAUCUUCGCUUUGCCUUUUUGUGGUCAUCGCUGGGUCGAGAACCUCCCUGUGGCGGAGAGGGCCCUUGUCAUCUGGCCAGACAUGAUGAAGUAUGUUGAGGCUGUCAGCACCAAAAAGCUUCCUAACCCUGGGACAUCCUCCUAUGAUACCAUUGAGGCAGCAACCAAAGACCCUCUCAUUCUGGCAAAGCUUCACUUUUUCAUGGCAGUGUGUCGAAGUGUAACACCUUUCCUCACCAGAUACCAAACUGAUGAACCUGUGCUGCCUUUCAUUGCUAAUGAUUUGGCUGAACUGCUGAAGAGUUUGCUGAGGCGAUUCAUUAAACAAGAACUUCUCAAUGAUGCCACACCUCAGCAUUUGGUCCGGCUUGAUGUUAGUGAUAUGCAGUCCAGGGUUCAUCUAAGAGCUGUUGAUAUUGGCAUUGGUGCUGAGGCUGCAAUAAAGGUAUUUAGGAAAUACAUAUUGUGUGACCAGGCUGGUGUCCCUGUUGUUAGACUGGUCUACUCAACCUCUCACUGGAUUAGCUAGAAGGAAAGAGGAGGGAGGGGAAGCUAUUUACUUAAUUUAGUCCCCAUUCAUCCUUAGGAACGUCAGCGGCAGAGUAGAUCCACCGAGGAGCUUUCUGUCCUCCAGUUCAGAAAAGAAUGCAUGGAGGGUCUGUCCAAAAUUGUAAAGAAGAUUCAAGAGAAGAGCCCUUUGAAAUUCCCAACUGUAAGACAAAUGACUUGUCUUAACCCAGCCGUGAUGUAUUCAGAUCCAGAAUUGUGUCAGGGCCAGAUGAAGUGUCUAGUCAAAAGGUUUCUUCAAGACAAGCAGUUAGAUGGAGUUGCUACAGGUACAUAAGAUUAAGUCCUGACGUUAGGCAUACAAUUUACAAAAGACACAUGUACAUUUGAUUGGAUUAUUAUAUAUGUGAGGGAUUUUUAUUUCACUUCUUCUUUGGGUGAUCUGAUCAUUCAGCAGUUUUCACAAUUGUUUUCUCUGGAGGUGAGGAAUGAGAAGUUCCUGUCUUUCAAGCCCCUUGAGGAGAGGCUGGAUGUGUUUCUCCAUUCGUAUAUAAGUCAGCCCUACCCACAGCUCUGGGCUUUCAUCAGAAACCUUCUGCUCCUCUCCCAUGGGCAAGCUACGGUGGAGAGAGGCUUCUCUAUCAAUAAACAAGUAGAAACUUGUAAUAUCCAUGAGGACACUGUCAUUGCACAAAGAGUUGUGUGCGAUUACGUGUCCAUGCAUGGGGGUGUUACCAAGGUGCCCCUCACACCAGAGCUCCUGUCUUCAGUCACAUCAGCAAGGGUGAGGUACAGAAUGCAUCUUGAAAGUGAACGGAAGAAAAAAGAAUCUCAAGCACAGGGUCAAAAAAGAAGAAUGAUUGAAGAGGAGUUGGAGCAGCUAAAAAAGUCAAGACAGACCAUCCAGGAAGUUGCAGAGCAUCAGAGGAGGGAUGCAGACAAGAUGGCAGAAGAGGCUGAGGGCAAACAAGGCAGCAAAAUGGCAGAGCUAAUUGCCAAGUCAAACGCAUUGAGAAGAAGCCACAAGCAGAAGUUGACAGAACUUGAGAGCCUGGGCGAAAAAAUUGCAACCAAGGCAGCAGACCUGCGAAGGCUGUAGUGUUCAACAUCAAGAUCAAAUCUAUUUGUUAAUUGUAAAUCAAAUGUGUGUUAUGCUGUUGCGUAUACACGUACAUAUAUCUGAUCAUUUAAAUAAAAUGUUUUAUUUAAUUCAAGAUGCCUACUUGUACAUAAUUAUUUUCUAGGGAUCAACAUUUAUACAGAUUUGACAUUUUCCCUUCAUACGUCUGUCGGAAUGGGUUCGAAGUUGGCAUUGAAUUUAAUUUGAAAUGGCAUUAAAAAGGUCUUAAAAAGCCUUGAAUUUUAUUUGGAAGAUCCUGGGGGUACCCUGAUAUAUCCUUCCAUUGUAACAGGGUGUCUAACAAGGGUGUUGAACCUUCCUAUCUGUAUCAUGAAGGCCUAAACACAAAAUAAAUAUUUAUUCCCAAGAGUAAUUUUUCCUACUCUCUGACCAAGAUCCUCCAGGUCCAACGAUAGUACAUUCAGCAGGUCCAACUAUAUUACAGUCUGUAGGUCCAACUAUAGUACAGUCUGCAGGUCCAACUAUAGUACAGUCUGCAGGUCCAACUAUAGUACAGUCUGCAGGUCCAACUAUAGUACAGUCUGCAGGUCCAACUAUAGUACAGUCUGCAAGUCCAAAUAUAGUACAGUCUGCAGGUCCAAAUAUAGUACAGUCUGCAGGUCCAAAUAUAGUAGUCUGCAGGUCCAACUAUAAUACAUUCAGCAGGUCCAACUAUAUUACAGUCUGUAGGUCCAACUAUAGUACAGUCUGUAGGUCCAACUAUAUUACAGUCUGUAGGUCCAACUAAAACACAGUCUGCAGGUCCAACAAUAGUACAGUCUGCAGGUCCAAUCACAACCUAAAAUUACAAUUCACAGCCAUUGCUAGGCUUGAGAUGGAGGUUAAGAGAACCAUUGAACUCUGCUAGAAUUACUCUGCAAGUUUGGUGCAUCACACAUUCACAACCAACUUAGAUAUCUAAAUUAAGACGUCAAAAUGUAUUAGUCAAAACAUUUACAUUUUUACAAAAAAAAAAUGGUCUUGCUAUGACUGAGCUAAUGGCUUUAAGGUCUCCAGAAGCUAAAUGUUGUCAAUGUACUUUUCAUACAACUGAGACAGAAUAUAGAACAAAGAGUUGGCUAUGUACAGGAGAUGGUAAAAAAAAGUUAAGAGACCACUGCAUCUUUUUCUUUCCUUUCCAAAAAUGUUGAAAAGCAAGGUUUUGAGUGAGGAACAGAAGUGAUCAAUUUGCAGUGGUCUCUUAAUUUUAACUCUUCUGUUCCUCACUCAAAACCUUGCUUUUCAACUUGUUUAUAAAGGAAAGAAAAUGUGCAGUGGUCUCUUAAUUUUUUCCAGAGCUGUAUAUUAACCUGUCUGAAGGAACAUGGGAAGAAAUCCUUUUCUGCAACAAUAUGACAAAAGUUGGUUUGAAAAGGUUUUUGAAAGGAUGAAAAUCAACUGAUUGUACAGAAAAUGACAAAAAGAUCAUAAAGCAAAAGGAUCUUAAAGCAAAGCAACAUAUUUGUCAUUAAGUAAGUCAAAUCAAGAGCAGAUUCCAUGUAUACUAUAGAUCUGUUAAAUACCGUGACUUGUAAAGAGAUAUACAUGACCGAAAAACAACAACGCUCUUCAUUUCCUGGAAAAACACAGCUCUUGGACGAUUUAAAGAAUCUCUACCAUGAGAGAGACCAAUGUGUGAGAAAAGCAGAGGGUUUUAGCACCUCUUGCCUGAAAUAUUCCACCAAUAUUUAACCAAACAUACCCAGAACUUGAUUGACAUGUUCUCAAGAGAUACAGGAAGAUUCAGCUAAAAACAUUAGUUCAUGACAAUGAGACUCCUGAGAGAAUGUUCUAUAAACAUUUUGGAUAGUAUUUUGUUAUGCUGGGACACUGGAAAUAUGUUGCAGUCAUAUAAAGGUCCUGUCACAUCUGUUAUGUAUGCACAGUUUGUGCAAUCACGUGAGAUGUUAGUUGACUAAGGGUUGUCGCAUGGUGUUUUUAAAGAGUCCAGUUUGCUCUUAUCUUAUGUGUCCGUAUCAUCCUUGAAUGCUAACAACAUCCAAACUAAUGAGGGACAAACAUAUCACAGAAACCAUCGCCACCUCCUGGAAACUACAGAAAAACACCACACACAAACAUCCAGCAGGGGGAGACUGAAACCUUUCAAACACAAUGUUGGGUACAUUUGUAAUAUCGUAUGCAUUUAUCAAUAUUAACUUGAGAAUCACAUGACUUAUCUUUGAUUAACCUUUGUGAGGACCUUAAUUAAUGUCACCCAUAGAUAAAGGUUUGUGUAAGAACUGACAUUUACUAAAUGCUGAUGUUGUUUCCAAUUAUUUGCUGGCUUUAAGCAAAAACUUAACUAAGAGCAGAAAUGACCAGAUGAACUGUCUGAUGAACUGUCUGAUGAACUGUCUAGAAUUGCUUGGGUUAAGGGUGAAAAAAAUUGCAUACACAUUUUCUUGUUUCAUUCACGUGUUUCCUGUUUUCCAUGUACGUUGCCGAGUAGAAAAAGGUCAAAGGGCAACCCGGCCUAGGUGUCACAUUAAAACAGUCUUAGCACAUGUGUAACCAAUAGGAAGGAAGAGAAAUAGGACAGGGCGGGCGAGGAAGUAUUCAGAUUUGUCUACUGACGGGUAUGAAAUGUAUCAGAACUCCCCGAAUCAAAGGCUUGGUGUCCAAAAAAGACCAAGAGAAGCUCAUUCAUGCUUUUAUCUCUAGUAGGGUUGACUACUGUAAUGGUCUCUUAACUGGACUCCCGAAAAAGUCUAUAAAAC